CCACCCUGAAGAGGAAAACAGGAAAGCAUUCAGUUGGGGAGUAAUGAAUUAUGACCUAUCCCUAGGCCAAAGCAAUGAGCAUAUACUAGGUCUUACUCAGGUCAGACCUCCGCAGAGCAGACAACCCAGUCUUGUCCUCACAUGCAGAGGUAGAGCGAGCAUUCCCUCCCUGGAUGCCAUAUUUCUAUACUGUUCUUGUUCCCUUCCAGACUUUUCCAUAUCAGGAUAAGUUGAUUCCUGAGCCAUGAAAUUCAGCGCACACAAAAUAGGGAAGUAGUACAUACAAAAGGCUGGUAGACUUUAAUCUCUGGAGUAACUCUGUAACACAGUGUAAAUAUCAUGUAACUAGUUCAUACAUUGUACUACUUAGGAAUGAGGACCAGAAUCUGAGAGGCAGGGAAUGUGGCUCAGAGAUAAGAAUAUUUGCUUAUCAUGAAUUAAGUCUUAGGCCCAAUCCCAGGCCUGCACAAAGAAUUGGUACAUGUUCGAUGCAUAUGUUGGUCUUUUUUAACGAUUUAUUUUUAUCUUGUGUGCAUUGGUAUUUUGCCUGCAUGAGCGUCUGUGUGAGGGUGUCAGAUCCACUGGGACUGGAGUUACAGUUGUGCAGGGUGAUGUGGGUGCUGAGGAUCGAACCCGGGGCCUCCAGAAGAGCAGCCAGUGCUCUUAACCACCGAGCCAUCACUCCAGCCUCGAGGUGAGUACAGCUGACGGAGGAGCUGCAGAACAGGAGCAGCUAGUCCAGAGCCACCUCCCUUGGAGCUCCCAAGUCGGGACACUAGAACCCAGAACCUCAGGCCCGUCUGGAGGGCGGGGUCCGUGCAGGAGCCACACAAGUCACUGGUUGUACCAGCUGGUUUCCUCUGCUCUCUGUCUUCUCUCGGACUAAAGGACCUGAGAAUAUCAGCCUUCUUCCCUCCUACACAGUGUUAAGCCAGAGCCCUAGGCAUGUCCUGGCCUGCUUCCCUACUUCCAACAAGGAGUGUCAUCAGUCACAAUGGCAGCAGUAGUGACAGCUUCCCCCCCAAGCCCCGCCCUUCGAAAAAGCUCCCAGCAAUGCCAGCGCCUAUGGGCAAAGGAACUUCUGAACGAGGCGGCCUGGCUGGUGUCUGUUCACACAUGUCGUCCCGGAGGUCAGAGGUGCUGAAUGCCUGCCUAAGGCUCACAUGGGGACCUGUGAGGACCUCGAGGCUUCUACCGCGUGUCUAGCCAGGGAAGAGAAGAAUCGCCAGCUGCUAUUCGAGUACGGACAGGGGCACGAGGGAGCCUGUUACUCCCCAAGCUGAGCCUGAGGCUCUGGGUAAAGAGCAGCUGGUCCCUCACAUCACUUCCUUCAGUCACAGUCAAGCAAGAGACUCCUAGGAGGAGAGCUGAGCUGGGAGCGGAAGAACGGAGGCCACAAGUCCUAACCUGACAAGCAAGAUUUGGGUCAGGACAAAGGAAACAGUCUCACCUUGGGGCUCUAAAGCACCAGAAGCUCACCAGACUGGACACACUGCAGUCAUUCGGCUGCCUCUGGUUCUGAGGUGCCCCACAGACCCAUCUCUGGGUUAGGGUUCAGUUACUAGGCUACAAGAAUGAUUCAGCACUCUUGACCGGUGACAGACACCGAAGGCACUGUGAGGGCACAACUGGAUUUCAGUCUAAACACCCAUGAGCAUGUGGCCCCGGACCCAUCAGUCACUGGCUACCCAUAGCAACAGCCAAUCCCUAAGGAUGCCUAACAAGCUAGAAGAAAGUGUAUCCCUGUAGAGCCUUUGGCUUACUACACUUUUCCCUGAAGAUAAUAUUUGAGUUUGAAUAAACCCUUGGAUUACGAUCAAGCAGAGAAA